ACGGGGUAUUGAGGUUUAUGGUUUUGGCACCCAUACCGGACGGGGUAUGGGAACGGUCCUGGAGUUAAGUUAUUAAGGUGAAUGGUUCACGUGUAGCGGGGACCCCUAUGGAUCUACAUGGAUACUGGUAGGUUGGUAAAAGAGAAAAUUUAUUGCCUGAUGAUUGAAAUAUUAAAAGUAUGACAUGUGUUAUGUUACAGAGUACGUAUGAUUUCAUGAUAUU
rnacentral:lncRNA from 1 species